UCCACGUUUUUUUCUUAUUUUCUGAUUUUCAUUUUAUUUGGUUUAUUUUCAUUAAUUCAUAUUAAUUUUAAUAUUGAUCCAAAAAAUAUGAGAGUUUAGUGGUCCACGUUUUUUUCUUAUUUUCUGAUUUUCAUUUUAUUUGGUUUAUUUUCAUUAAUUCAUAUUAAUUUUAAUAUUGAUCCAAAAAAUAUGAGAGUUUCACCAAAAAAAUUUAAAUAAAU
rnacentral:lncRNA from 1 species